GACGAACGCUGGCGGCGUGCUUAACACAUGCAAGUCGAACGGUAAGGCCCUUCGGGGUACACGAGUGGCGAACGGGUGAGUAACACGUGGGUGAUCUGCCCUGCACUUCGGGAUAAGCCUGGGAAACUGGGUCUAAUACCGGAUAGGACUCCGGACUGCAUGGUCGGGGGUGGAAAGCUUUUGCGGUGUGGGAUGGGCCCGCGGCCUAUCAGCUUGUUGGUGGGGUGAUGGCCUAACAAGGCGACGACGGGUAGCCGGCCUGGGAGGGUGACCAGCCACGCUGGGACUGAGAUACGGCCCAGACUCCUACGGGAGGCAGCAGUGGGGAAUAUUGCACAAUGGGCGCAAGCCUGAUGCAGCGACGCCGCGUGAGGGAUGACGGCCUUCGGGUUGUAAACCUCUUUCAGCAUCGACGAAGCGCAAGUGACGGUAGGUGCAGAAGAAGGACCGGCCAACUACGUGCCAGCCGCCGCAGUAA
rnacentral:rRNA from 1 species